GUCUAUGAAUGGGUUAACUGACAUGUGACCGCGGUAACUACUGUAUAGCAAACUAAUCGUAUCAUCAAGAAGUCCCAAAGAGAAGUCUUCACAAAACCGAAUGUAAUUUUUUUUAAGGACACUAACCUUAACACGAACCUAGUUUUGCUCAGCUUCUUGAUGUCUGCACUUGUACUGUAAUUUCAGUGUAUGCAAGAAAAAGCAACUGUUCUGCGUGCUAUUUUUAACUUUGAUUCCGGUGGUUUUGGUACACCCUCUGCCUGGAUUGGAUGAGUGCAAGAUGUAUUGGUAGACAAAUAUGUCAAUCACUCAUAGAACGCAAUGAAUACGUCUUGGAGAGUAGUUGUCUGUAUUUACGGCAUCGAAUUAGAGGGGUGAACGUUAUGACCACACGAGGGCAGUGUGUCCAUUAUUCCAGGUAAGGUAUUUCAAAUCACUGGUGACUGCAUAAAAGUUGAGGGAUACUUUUAAUACCUUCAUUUUCAUCCUCAUCAGACUGACUGUUACAAGAACUGCAUUUUGUUUGGGGCAAAACAUGUUAAUUAACAGGUUUACCAAAAGCAUGUGGACAGUAUUUGGUGUCUGUGUGCCCCACUGAAGAGAAAAUGCAGAUUAUCCAUCCAGAAGCGGGGCCACCAUCUCCAGCAUCUUCCCCGUUCCUGGCUGUGGUUGGAACAAUAACGGUGUUAGUAGGACCGACAACAUUAUUACUAUAUCACAGCUCAAAUGUAAAUCAAAUAAUCCUCCCUUCUACUAAAAUGAAAUGUUGUAGUUAUUGUUGUUUUAUUAAUACGAAGACAUGUUAAAGACCCCCUAACCACCUUAGAACCUCAUUUGUCACCUGAUUUACCUACCAAAAGGUACAUUUCAAUAAGUG